CCAAAGGCUCUUUUCAGAGCCACCACUUAUACAAAUUAAGACAUGA
rfam:Xiphophorus maculatus strain JP 163 A Contig433.12, whole genome shotgun sequence.